rnacentral:tRNA from 2 species
GGAGGAGGAUCGCACCCUGGUGGGGCGCCCAGACUUCAAAUCUGGCGAGGGGCGGCAGCCGUCCUUGGUGGGUUCGACUCCCACUCUCCUCCACCA